rnacentral:ncRNA from 2 species
UUCUUAUCAAGAGUGGCGGAGGGACUGGCCCAAUGAAGCCCGGCAACCGGAAAAAGGUAGGGGUGCCCUUUUUCUUGGUGCCAAUUCCAGCAGGUAUUUUUUUAAAAUACCUGGCAGAUAAGAA